CCUACGGGAGGCUGCAGUGGGGAAUAUUGCACAAUGGGCGCAAGCCUGAUGCAGCCAUGCCGCGUGUGUGAAGAAGGCCUUCGGGUUGUAAAGCACUUUCAGCGGGGAGGAAGGCGGUGAGGUUAAUAACCUCAUCGAUUGACGUUACCCGCAGAAGAAGCACCGGCUAACUCCGUGCCAGCAGCCGCGGUAAUACGGAGGGUGCAAGCGUUAAUCGGAAUUACUGGGCGUAAAGCGCACGCAGGCGGUCUGUCAAGUCGGAUGUGAAAUCCCCGGGCUCAACCUGGGAACUGCAUUCGAAACUGGCAGGCUAGAGUCUUGUAGAGGGGGGUAGAAUUCCAGGUGUAGCGGUGAAAAGCGUAGAGAUCUGGAGGAAUACCGGUGGCGAAGGCGGCCCCCUGGACAAAGACUGACGCUCAGGUGCGAAAGCGUGGGGAGCAAACAGGAUUAGAUACCCCGGUAGUC
rnacentral:rRNA from 1 species